AUAAAUGCUUUACAUUAUUAUUUGUAAUCUUAUCGUAAGAAAAAUUUGUACAAUAAAUGGGUUCAAAUAUCUUGUCUUCCGUUGAUUCCGUUGUUGUCGUAUCUGCUCCAUUAUUGCUCCUUAUCUUAUCUUUCCAGCUGGCAUUUUGUUUUCUUGAUUUUUAUUCUAGAUGUACUUCUGGAAUAAUAUUAUCUUCUCCAUUACAUCUUGAACAUUGAUGAUCUGGAUAU
rnacentral:lncRNA from 1 species